rnacentral:rRNA from 1 species
UACGUAGGAGGCGAGCGUUGUCCGGAUUUAUUGGGCGUAAAGAGCGUGUAGGCGGCUUUACAGGUCCGUUGUGAAAACUCGAGGCUCAACCUCGAGACGCCGGUGGAAACCGUAAAGCUAGAGUCCGGAAGAGGAGAGUGGAAUUCCUGGUGUAGCGGUGAAAUGCGCAGAUAUCAGGAGGAACACCCGUGGCGAAAGCGGCUCUCUGGGACGGUACUGACGCUGAGACGCGAAAGCGUGGGGAGCAAACAGG